rnacentral:rRNA from 1 species
UACGUAGGGUGCAAGCGUUGUCCGGAAUUACUGGGCUUAAAGAGUUCGUAGGCGGCAUGUUAAGUCGGGUGUGAAAGCCCUCGGCUCAACCGAGGAAUUGCGCUCUAAACUGUCGUGCUCGAGGAAUCUAGAGGUGAGCGGAACUGAUGGUGGAGCGGUGAAAUGCGUUGAUAUCAGCAGGAACACCGGAGGCGAAGGCGGCUCACUGGGGAUUUUCUGACGCUGAGGAACGAAAGCCAGGGGAGCGAACGGG